rnacentral:rRNA from 1 species
UACGUAGGGUGCGAGCGUUGUCCGGAAUUAUUGGGCGUAAAGAGCUUGUAGGCGGUCUGUCGCGUCUGCUGUGAAAAUCCGGGGCUCAACCCCGGACUUGCAGUGGGUACGGGCAGACUAGAGUGUGGUAGGGGGAGACUGGAAUUCCUGGUGUAGCGGUGAAAUGCGCAGAUAUCAGGAGGAACACCGAUGGCGAAGGCAGGUCUCUGGGCCACUACUGACGCUGAGGAGCGAAAGCAUGGGGAGCGAACAGG